rnacentral:tRNA from 1 species
UCUAAUAUGGCAGAAUUAAUGCAAUGAAUUUAAGCUUCAUUAAUAAAGUUUAAACUUUUUUUAGAA